CAGUCGCCGCGGGAAUACGUAGGGACCAAGCGUUGUCCGGAAUCAUUGGGCGUAAAGCGCGCGUAGGUGGCCAUUUAAGUCCGCUGUGAAAGUCAAAGGCUCAACCUUUUAAAGCCGGUGGAUACUGGAUGGCUAGAGUACGGAAGAGGCGAGUGGAAUUCCUGGUGUAGCGGUGGAAUGCGCAGAUAUCAGGAGGAACACCAAUAGCGAAGGCAGCUCGCUGGGACGUUACUGACACUGAGGCGCGAAAGCGUGGGGAGCGAACAGGAUUAGAUACCCCUGUAGUCCCUGUCUCUUAUAC
rnacentral:rRNA from 1 species